rnacentral:rRNA from 1 species
CGGACGGGUGAGUAACGCGUGAGAAUCUGCCUUCAGGAUGGGGAUAACAGAGGGAAACUCUGCUAGGACCCAAUGUGCCGAGAGGUGAAACAAAAUUGCCUGAAGAUGAGCUCGCGUCGGAUUAGCUAGUUGGUGAGGUAACGGCUCACCAAGGCACGAUCCGUAGCUGGUCUGAGAGGAUGAUCAGCCACACUGGGACUGAGACACGGCCCAGCUCCUACGGGAGGCAGCAGUGGGGAAUUUUCCGCAAUGGGCGAAAGCCUGACGGAGCAAACCGCGUGAGGGAGGAAGGCCUUUGGGUUGUAAACCUCUUUUCUCAAGGAAGAAGCGUGACGGUACUUGAGGAAUCAGCAUUGGCUAACUCCGUCCAGCAGCCGCGGUAAGACGGAGGAUGCAAGCGUUAUCCGGAAUGAUUGGGCGUAAAGCUCCGCAGGCGGCUCGUCAAGUCUGUUGUUAAAGAGUGGGGCUUAACCCCAUCAGAGCGAGGAAACUGAGGAGCUAGAGGGUGGUAGGGGUAGAGGGAAUUCCCAGUGUAGCGGUGAAAGCGUAGAUAUUGGGAAGAACACCAGUGGCGAAAGCGCUCUACUGGGCCAUCACUGACGUGAGGGACGAAAGCUAGGGGAGCGAAAGGGAUUAGAUACCCCUGUAGU